CGGUUCUUUAAGUCUGAUGUGAAAGCCUAUGGCUCAACCGGGAAGGGUCAUUGGAAACUGGAGAACUUGAGUGCAGAAGAGGAGAGUGGAAUUCCACGUGUAGCGGUGAAAUGCGUAGAUAUGUGGAGGAACACCAGUGGCGAAGGCGACUCUCUGGUCUGUAACUGACGCUGAGGCUCGCAAGCGUGGGGAGCAAACAGGAUUAGAUACCCUGGUAGUCCACGCCGUAAACGAUGAGUGCUAAGUGUUGGAGGGUUUCCGCCCUUCAGUGCUGCAGCUAACGCAUUAAGCACUCCGCCUGGGGAGUACGGCCGCAAGGCUGAAACUCAAAGGAAUUGACGGGGACCUGCACAAGCGGUGGAGCAUGUGGUUUAAUUCGAAGUAACGCGAAGAACCUUACCAGGUCUUGACAUCCUUUGACCACUCUAGAGAUAGAGCUUUCCCUUCGGGGUCAAAGUGACAGGUGCACCAUGGUUGUCGUCAGCUCGUGUCGUGAGAUGUUGGGUUAAGUCCCGCAACGAGCGCAACCCUUAUUACUAGUUGCCAGCAUUUAGUUGGGCACUCUAGUGAGACUGCCGGUGACAAACCGGAGGAAGGUGGGGAUGACGUCAAAUCAUCAUGCCCCUUAUGACCUGGGCUACACACGUGCUACAAUGGAUGGUACAACGAGUCGCAAGGUCGCGAGGCCAAGCUAAUCUCUUAAAGCCAUUCUCAGUUCGGAUUGUAGGCUGCAACUCGCCUACAUGAAGCCGGAAUCGCUAGUAAUCGCGGAUCAGAACGCCGCGGUGAAUACGUUCCCGGGUCUUGUACACACCGCACGUCACACCACGAGAGUUUGU
rnacentral:rRNA from 1 species